rnacentral:rRNA from 1 species
GAUGAACGCUGGCGGCGUGCCUAAUACAUGCAAGUCGAGCGAACAGAUGAGGAGCUUGCUCCUCUGACGUUAGCGGCGGACGGGUGAGUAACACGUGGAUAACCUACCUAUAAGACUGGGAUAACUUCGGGAAACCGGAGCUAAUACCGGAUAAUAUAUUGAACCGCAUGGUUCAAUAGUGAAAGACGGUUUUGCUGUCACUUAUAGAUGGAUCCGCGCCGCAUUAGCUAGUUGGUAAGGUAACGGCUUAACAAGGCAACGAUGCGUAGCCGACCUGAGAGGGUGAUCGGCCACACUGGAACUGAGACACGGUCCAGCCUCCUACGGGAGGCAGCAGUAGGGAAUCUCCCGCAAUGGGCGAAAGCCUGACGGAGCAACGCCGCGUGAGUGAUGAAGGUCUUCGGAUCGUAAAACUCUGUUAUUAGGGAAGAACAAAUGUGUAAGUAACUAUGCACGCCUUGACGGUACCUAAUCAGAAAGCCACGGCUAACUACGUG